AGGGAGAAACGUUAGGUCUUUAAUCCUCACUCCUCCCCUUCUCUGCAUUCCUUUACUGAUUUCGAAACUAUUCAAGUAAGAGGGGGGAGUUAAUUCUGGAUUAAAAACAAGUCCAGUGUGCGAGUAGUCUCACUUUGGGAGAAGCUGAGACAGAAGAAGCAAUCUGCCUGAAGGACAAAUGCCCAGUUAAUGUUUAUAUAAAAUGUCUUUACUUGGAUAUGUACUUCUGCUUACAGCUGCCUUAUGCUGUACUGCAGCACCAGCCUCCCCUGACGGUAAGAGACCAAUGUCCGCUAAAGAUCACUGUGAAAAACCUGAGCAAAUAAAAGGAGCUCAGUUACAAGGUGAAUGGCAUGAUGAAACUUACCCACCUGGUAAAGUAGCUAAUUUUUUCUGCCUUCCGGAAUACACCCAGGAUGGACCCAUUAAAAUGGCAUGUAUUGAAGGAACUUGGUGGCAUAUUGCUAAAGGCCAAUGCAAAGGUAA